rnacentral:rRNA from 1 species
UACGGAGGGGGCAAGCGUUGUUCGGAAUUACUGGGCGUAAAGGGCGCGCAGGCGGCUGCUCAAGUCAGGCGUGAAAGGCCUGGGCUCAACCCGGGAAUUGCGCUUGAGACUGGGCUGGCUUGAGUGCGGGAGAGGAUGGUGGAAUUCCCAGUGUAGAGGUGAAAUUCGUAGAUAUUGGGAAGAACACCGGUGGCGAAGGCGGCCAUCUGGACCGCAACUGACGCUGAGGCGCGAAAGCCAGGGGAGCGAACGGG